rnacentral:rRNA from 1 species
UACGAAGGGUCCAAGCGUUAUCCGGAUUUAUUGGGUUUAAAGGGUGCGUAGGCGGCUUAUUAAGUCAGUGGUGAAAGCCUGGAGCUUAACUCCAGAACUGCCAUUGAUACUGAUGAGCUUGAGUACAGUUGAGGUGGGCGGAAUGUGUCAUGUAGCGGUGAAAUGCUUAGAUAUGACACAGAACACCGAUUGCGAAGGCAGCUCGCUAAACUGCAACUGACGCUGAGGCACGAAAGCAUGGGGAUCAAACAGGAUUAGAAACCCUUGUAGU